rnacentral:rRNA from 1 species
UGGUGGAGUGAUUUGUCUGGUUAAUUCCGUUAACGAACGAGACCUUAACCUGCUAAAUAUGCCGCGCUAACCCGUCCAUCAAAACUUAUGUGUGACUCACGCGGUUCGCUGCACACUAGUGUUGCCCGUUAAACGGUGAUGUUAGGGUGCCGGCAGGGCCCGGGUUCAUAUAGGCGGUAGGGUUCGGCGUCUGUGCUUCUUAGAGGGACUGCUGCGCGCCUAGCCAGCGGAAGUUUGAGGCAAUAACA